UACGUAGGUGGCGAGCGUUGUCCGGAUUUACUGGGCGUAAAGGGAGCGUAGGCGGACUUUUAAGUGAGAUGUGAAAUACCCGGGCUCAACUUGGGUGCUGCAUUUCAAACUGGAAGUCUAGAGUGCAGGAGGGGAGAAUGGAAUUCCUAGUGUAGCGGUGAAAUGCGUAGAGAUUAGGAAGAACACCAGUGGCGAAGGCGAUUCUCUGGACUGUAACUGACGCUGAGGCUCGAAAGCGUGGGGAGCAAACAGGAUUAGAUACCCGCGUA
rnacentral:rRNA from 1 species